GUCCAGUCCCUGGAAGAUGAAGUUAGUUAGCAUUUGGUGCCCAGCCAGCAGCAAUGUGACUUAGGCUUUUCGUCCUAGUAGGAAUUUGACUCAUUGGGCCUGCAAAAGAUUUUCGUGACAAAUGAAAUAUUUUUCUAAACCAAGGACUUGGGGAUAACUUCAGGGUCAAAGACAUCUUAUCAUAUUUAAGAACAGCCACAGGAUGUCUAGGAGCCAGCAGAGGGGCCAGAUAUGCUGCAGUUUAUGCUGUAAAAGGAAGCCUGCCGCCGUGAGUGGUCCAGUGGGAGCUCUUGCUUUGUGUCCUCAGCCUUUCACCUUUCCAUCUGAUGACUUGCUCUGAAUCUUCACUUCCUGGGCAGAGCUCUGAGUAUAGAUGAGGCAAACUUCACAUGGAAAAGAAGCCAUAUUUUGAAAAAACUACACGGAAUCAAAGAGAACUAACUCAAAGAAGCAAAAUUUUGGAGAUAAAACAAGACCCUAUGUUCACCAGAAGGAUCCUCAUGUCUGCAGACUACAUUAAGAGGGAGGAUAUGCCUCUGUGAAUCCAACUGAUAGGUAUCUCCUGUGUGCCAGGGAAUGGCAGGGCCAUGGCUCUCUCAAAGCCAUGCUCAUAAAAAGCCUCCUCUGCAUCGACUUCCAGUCCCAUUUGAUUCUCAAGCAAGGAGUUCCAUCCGAGAAGGAAGCUGUCACCUGUCACUCUUUUAUGAAUUCUUAAGGACAGUGGAAGAGUUGAAAGGUUGGCAAUCACAAUGACAAUAGGCUAU
rnacentral:lncRNA from 1 species